rnacentral:tRNA from 1 species
CCUUCGAUAGCUCAGUUGGUAGAGCGGAGGACUGUAGGUUAUGACGUCAGACAUCCUUAGGUCGCUGGUUCGAAUCCGGCUCGAAGGA